ACAUUUCUUAUAAGUCCCCUUCUCCUUGUAACAGAAAUCAUAACUGUUUCUGAUUUGACCACUGGUGCUAAACUAAAGUAGGUGAUGAAGAUGGAUAAAAUGGACUCUGGAAUCAUCUGAGAGGACAUGGAAAACACAUCUUUGUCCCAGUGUGUAAUUACUUCACAAAUAGUCACUAGUAUUUUGCACUUUUUAAAAUUUGCAUCAUUUGAAUAGAUAUUUUGUAAAGUCUUUUUUUCUGAGCCAGCUAAGCUACAUUUUUACUGUAUUUCCUGAUUUUGAAAAGAUCCUAUUUAUAAAUAUACAUAGAUAAUUAUGACAUUUCUUUUUACAAACUGCCAAUGUAAAGGUAAAUGUCUUCUCACAAAAACUUAAAGCUUGAAUUUCCAAAAAUAAAAUUCAGUCAUAAUCUUUAAUUAUAGAAAUCAUGAAUAAAAAUAGUUUAAUUUUGUAUUCAAACACUUUAUUGCUGACUUAAAGCUAAAAAAGUAAAAAUAAAGCAAAUAAAACUUUUUCUAUCCCUCUUCUUGUUUGUAUCUACUGGCACACUAUAUACUCUUUCCAAUGGUUAACCCUACUGAAAAUGGACUGACUUUUUCUGUGUCACAUAUUCCACAUCUAGAACAUUGGGAGUAUAGAAGAAAUGAAAAAGAUGUGGUUGAAGGUUUAGAGAAGAUUCAUGUUCAGUGCACCUAUAAUAUAGUAUCAGUGUACAUAUAACUGAUGGUGUCUAAAGGACAAAGUCUGUCCUUUUUAGUGUCAUAAACCUGGGACAAUAUCCACUAAGGUAAAAAUGAUAUGAUGUCUUAAAAUAUCUAGAAAACUUAACCUUUGGAAUGCCUUCCAGAUCACAUUAAAACACAAUAAACAGACUCUUAUCACUUGAUGUAUAACCUGUCUAUAAUACUGUUAUGUAUUUUGACAUCACAUCAACACAUGAAAAGCUUUUGAAAAGCUUUUGAAAAGCAUUUCCAAAUGUUUGCAUAAAACAAAUUGAACCCCAAAUAAUAAAGAGUUUCUAUCUCACAGUAAUUCAUAUAUAUCUUAAGCAAAAGCAGUAUUGGUGGUUAAAGUGGUUACUUUGAGGGCCAUAAGGUAAUACCUUUUCAAAGACAUAAAUUUUAAUUUGUUUAAAAUAAGCCAUCCUAAAAAUCAAUCUUAAAGAUUAUUUUUUUAAAUGUGUCAGAAUCAAAAGGGAAUAAGACAUAUCUUUGGAAAAUAAAAAAGGAAGUCUAAUAAAAAUGUGGUCAAAUAAUUUAGAUUGUUCUUUUGGCAAGCACCCAAAAAAUCUGGCAGGCAGUAGAAUCCAGUGGCUAGGAGAGCAGAGUGUGAGGCCGGGCUCCCUGUGUGUGACUGCUGGUUCUGACACACACUAGCUUGAUGACUUGGACAAAUUGCCCAAACUUCAUAUGCCUCAGCUUUCUCAUCUAUACAAUUGAUAUGAUGAUAGCACUUACUUUGUUGCUAGAAAUAUUAAAGUUAAUCAUUAAAGCUUUUACAUGUGCUUAUAUAAGAGCAGUUCUUAGCAUAAGAGCAAUUCUUACAACAUAGUAAGCACUGAACAAACAAAAUAGAGACUUGAACUCAUGCCCAGGAGCUGCUUCUCAUAGCCAGAUAUAUAAUUUCUCCAGCAAUUUGUGUGCCUAUUAAGUGAGGGGCUUGGAUUUGCUGCAUCCUGUUCCAAUUAAGCAUCUAAGAGUCUUAAAAUGUACAUUAAAAUGAGAUUAGAAAACAAGGAAUCAGGACACAGAAAAUUAGAACUGUUUUUUAUAUGCUAGUGUUUUAGAAAGAGAAUGAAGCCCAUUAUUCAAGAAAAAGACAAUGCUCACAACUCUUGAAUAAAUACAAGUAAGCAACCCCUAAAAAGAGAAAAUAAAUUAGAACUUUAAUUUAAAAUUACCAAAUGAGAACUAUAAGUGUCUCAUAAGAAGAAAGCUGUAUGAAUUACCAUGAGCAAAUGUAUGCUGGUAUUGGUGCUGCUAAGUUAUACAUGCUGAAUCUCGAGGCAUAAAUAUAUUCAGGAAAAUGAUCCACUAAUAUACAUAUAACACUUCUCAUUUUUCCUAUUAGCUGUGACACUGUAUUAAACAUCAGGACCAUUGGGAAUUGAGGUGAUCAUGUCACUUUCAUUUAUUAUAACUCUUUUAUCUACUAUUGGCACUAACCACUAGGAAUCUGAUUUAUUAUCCAUAUUCUUGGUUGCAAAAUAUAGAAAUCCACUCUGGAUAACAUAAGCAGAUCAGAGAUUCAAAGAGGGUAUUUUGAGUAGCCCACCAAACUAAUGGAAAAGUUACUGAAGGGCUAGCUUAGAGACCUGGACACUGAAAAAUCAGAGAAACAGGGAGGUAAAGCAGCCAAAAGCAUAGCUAUUCGUUGCCACUACUGCCCCAGUGGCCACCAUGGGCCUUUUGACACUGUGGUUGCCACUAUAGAAUUAAACUCUGAACUUCUCUUUCUUCUUUGUGAUACUCACUGAAGCGUCAUAGCUUCAGGCUGGUAUAUCUGAUGUGUCAGUUCUAGGUUGUAGACUCUGAUUCAGCUAAGACUGAGGUCGUAGACUCUGAUUCAGUUAAGGGUUACAGUUAAAGGUUACAGAUGGCAAGUAUCUAAACUUCCCAGCACCCACUAUAAAAAGCAGAGCACAAUGUUGUAUUCCAGAAAUGUAAGUUUAAAUCCAGGGUAUCCCAAACCAAUACUCACCUCACCUAUUAUGAUGAGACAAAUGAAGGAGGGUAUAUUCUAAAGAUAUGUAAGGUGGUUUACAUUUCAAAUGAGGGAAUUGCUACCUAGAUGGUCAUUCACGAUGUACUACAAUUUUAUGGCUACUUUUUUUCUCACAGGUAGACCCCCAUGUAGAUGAUAUUGCAUAUCAUGUGAAAGUGUGUUGUGAGAAUUAAAUGAGAUAAUUUAUCUAAAAGCGCAAGACUCAUGGAAGUCACCUAAUGCGUAUUAUUUAACAUCCCCAAUCUAUUUUCUUUUACUUUAAAAAAAAGUGCUUGAUGUUGAGAAUUUUACAUCUGCAACCGGUAUGGAAACUUUCUGUUUUACAUCUUUGGUUGACAUUAAUAAAGCACUUCAAGCUGGUGUGGGUGGAUAUUCCUUCCUGUUGAAAAGAGAACAAAACCUUCAACAGGGAGCAGCUGGAGACAAACAUUGGGGAGAGGAAAAGCAGAAAGUGUUGCAUGGCUUAAUCAUUUAAAUCACAGAUUAAGUCAACAUAAUAGCAGAGAAAAUGCAGAGAAUUUAAAAUGUGUGACUAUAAUGGCAAGCUCACAGGGUCUUUUCAUUGGAUCAACAGAGGAAAUGAACUAAAUGAACACAAUUUCAUAUCUCCUGAGAAAGAAAUAAAGAAAAGGAUUCAUAAGCAAAUGUUUUAUUUUACACUAUAAAUUUAUAAAAAUUUCCUUUACAUGCAAAACCCUUAUGCAACAGAACACAAGCAUUAACUUCAUGAAAAAAGCAAUAAUAAGGAAUAAAAGCUAUUAACUA
rnacentral:lncRNA from 1 species